GUGAAUAAAUAGGAUUCCUAUAUACAGUAUGGGUACAGUUACAGUACAAAUUACAGUAGGUGGAUAGAUGGAAGUCCGGGGUUUUGGAAAGCAACUGUUCUUGAAUCUGUUGUCCUUGUUCUGAUGCACCUAUAGCGCCUCCCUGAGGGCAGCAGGUCGAACAGGCCAAACGCAGGAUGGGAGCUGUCCUUGAUGAUGUUCUUCGCCCUGCUGAGGCAGCGGGAGGUGUAAAUGUCCAUCAGAGAGGGGAGAGGGCAGCCAAUGAUCUUCUGUGCUGCCCUAACUACCCUCUGAAGCCUCUCCCUGUCAGCCAUGGUGCAGCUGCCAUACCAUGCUGUAAUGCAGUAUGUCAGCAGGCUCUCAAUCGACGAGCGGUAGAAGGUCAGCAGCAGGUUGGAGUCCAGGUUGUGCUUCCUGAGGACCCUCAGGAAGUGCAGCCGCUGUCAUUCCCCUCGUACUUCCUUGUACGAGUUCCUACUGUCUUUUUCUUGCCUGUCGAUUCCACGCUGAUUCUCUUACCUUCAACCACACUCGAGAUAAUUUACAGUCGCCAAUGGACUGCGCGCCUGUGAGGCCUUGGAGGAAAUAGACAGACCGAGAUGAACCUCCACGCUCCUGUGCGUACAUACUCAAUACUUCGACACUCAAUUCAACACUGUCUCGAGGUGUGAUAUUCACUCCCGCUUGCCUAUUGAUAUCUCAGGGGGACUGAAGCGCUCAGUAUCCCAUCUCGAUCAGAAACACAAAACUUUGAUUAUUACAAUUUAAGAGUUCUUUCAACUGCAUGUUAAUCCAAACUACCUAUAAACAAUGACACUUCUUUCAUCAGACCAACAACAACUACAAUCAAUGCAAAAAGAUAUCGGUGAGAUCACAGACCUUUGUUAUUGAGAAACUUAUUUAAGUAUUGGUCCAUUUAAACUUUCAGGGAUGAGAUAUAUUUAUUGAUCUCGUGUAUUAAUUGAAUAAACGAUCUUUUUUUUUAUUUUCUGCAAGUUCACUGAUGAAAACUUGCUGAUUUUAUCCCCAGUGGAACUGCUCCGAUUGAAAGAGAAAGAACUUGAAGAACUUCGGCGAGAUGACAGGAAAUCGUCUCACGGAUGCGACAAAGAUCUAGAUGCAAGCAAAGCAG